UACGUAGGGUGCGAGCGUUUAAUCGGAAUUACUGGGCGUAAAGCGUGCGCAGGCGGUGCGCCAAGCUCGAUGUGAAAGCCCCGGGCUUAACCUGGGAAUUGCAUUGAGGACUGGCGUGCUCGAGUGCGGCAGAGGGGGGUGGAAGUUCCACGUGAUAGCAGUGAAAUGCGUGAGAGAUGUGGAGGAACACCGGAUGGCGCAAGGCA
rnacentral:rRNA from 1 species